UAUGUUGCAAGAAGAGCGUUUUCGUCGUACCGUUGACCAAGCUCUUGAUGUACUCCUCUGGAAUCUCUCCUGUGAAACGGUUAUUGUUCAAGAAAAGAGACUCUGCUCCGGCGAGGGAAGGAGGUAACUCGCCGGAGAUAGAGUUAUGGCUCAGAUCAACGACGGAGCCCUGAGGUAACAUUAACAGUGACGUGGCGUUGAUGGAUGUGAAGUUGUUUCGUUGUAGGAACAUUGAUGUGGUUGUGGAGCCAAAGAGUGAUUGCGGGAUCGCUCCGGUGAACCGGUUCAUGCUGAGAUCGAUGUACGUUAGGUCUGUGAGUGGCUCCAAGGGGAUGAUUUCGCCGGAGAUUGAGUUUCCGGCGAGGGAUAAGUACCGGAGAGUGGUGGGGAAAAGAGGUGGGAGUUGGCCGGAGAUUUGGUUCAUCUUUAGGUCUAAGUGAAGCAAAGGGCUAGAGACAGGUUUAACGUUGUCGGAGAAACGGUUCGAGGCUAAGACAAGGACUUUGAGAUGAGGAAGUGUGGUUAGAAACGGAGGGAGAGAGCCUGAGAGUUGGUUAUAGCUGAGGUCAAGAGUGUGGAGGUACGAGAGAGAUGAGAAAGAGUUUGGUAUAGGACCGGUUAAGCGGUUUCUGGUUAAGGAAAUGACUCGAAGGAGAGGGAGGGUAUCGAACCGAGGAGGGAGAGGUCCGGUGACUAAACCGGGGUAGAGAACGAGUUGGGUCAAAUGGGUUAGGUUGGAGAUGGAAGGAGAUAGUGAACCGGAGAGGUUAGGGCCGAGAGAUAAGGCGGAGACACGGCCGAGGGAACUGCAAGUGAGGCCUGAGAAGGUGGAGCUCCACGGGAAUCUCGUUAAGUAGUUAUGUUGCAAGAAGAGCGUUUUCGUCGUACCGUUGACCAAGCUCUUGAUGUACUCCUCUGGAAUCUCUCCUGUGAAACGGUUAUUGUUCAAGAAAAGAGACUCUGCUCCGGCGAGGGAAGGAGGUAACUCGCCGGAGAUAGAGUUAUGGCUCAGAUCAACGACGGAGCCCUGAGGUAACAUUAACAGUGACGUGGCGUUGAUGGAUGUGAAGUUGUUUCGUUGUAGGAACAUUGAUGUGGUUGUGGAACCAAAGAGAGAUUGCGGGAUUGCGCCGGUGAACCGGUUCAUGCUGAGAUCGAUGUACGUUAGGUCUGUGAGUGGCUCCAAGGGGUUGAUUGUGCCGGAGAUUGAGUUUCCGGCGAGGGAUAAGUACUGGAGAGUGGUGGGGAAAAGAGGCGGGAGUUGGCCGGAGAUUUGGUUCAUCUUUAGGUCUAAGUGAAGCAAAGGGCUAGAGACAGGUUUAACGUUGUCGGAGAAACGGUUCGAGGCUAAGACAAGGACUUUGAGACGAGGAAGUGUGGUGAGAAACGGAGGGAGAGAGCCUGAGAGUUGGUUAUAGCUGAGGUCAAGAGUGUGGAGGUAUGAGAGAGAUGAGAAAGAGUUUGGUAUAGGACCGGUUAAGCGGUUUCUGGUUAAGGAAAUGACUCGAAGGAGAGGGAGGGUAUCGAACCGAGGAGGGAGAGGUCCGGUGACUAAACCGGGGUAGAGAACGAGUUGGGUCAAAUGGGUUAGGUUGGAGAUGGAUGGGGAUAGUGAACCGGAGAGGUUAGGGCCGAGUGAUAAGGCGGAGACACGGCCGAGGGAAGUGCAAGUUAGGCCUGCGAAGGUGGAGCAAGGGUCAGGGGUUGUGAAGUCCCAAGUUGAGAAGAAGGCUGAACCGGGCAUGUCGGUUAAGGAGUCUCUUAUGGAUUCAAGAGCA
rnacentral:lncRNA from 1 species